GUGAUGGCUUUCAUCGACUGCAGGAUAAAGUCCAAACUGCUCAAGCUCACAUUUAAUGCCUUCUAUAAAAAGAAACCAUCCUGUCUUCCAGAUUAAUUCCUAUCACAUCACUCCUGGAAUUUUCACCAGUCUCCGUGAUUCACAUUUCUGUGGCGUCCUGGUGCCUGAAUAGAAGAGCCUAGAAUGUCUUCUGGAAUGUGUCUUUGAGGACUGAAUGACUCAUCUGGCAGCAGUAAAACAAAGUCACUUCAGGUGCUAUUAGCAAUGCAUGCAUUUCAAUAAUUCCCAGAGCCAAUUUGUUAAAUGACUCAGGAUAAUUUCAGAUCAACAGCGGGUUAUACUCAGAACAUUUUCCCCUCUGGGCUAAGUGAGCAUUCCAAGAAUGUAGUUAACAAGGAGCUGCACUAAUUAGCCAAUCCCUGGCUCUGUGUUGCCUCUCUGAGUACUGGAGCUAAUUAAUUGGCUAAUAAACAGUUAGAUUUCUCAAAUAUUCCUUACCUCUACCCAGAACAUAUUAAGAGGAAUCACUUAUAUCUGUUGUUGUUUACCUCAAUCAACAAGUAUUUAUUGAUAAACAUAAAGCCACUUCAGGUGUGACAACAGUAACAUGGCUGGCAAAAAUGGGAACAUAGCUCUCGGAAAAAUCAUAGCAGACAAGGGAAGGUUAGAUGACAGUAGGAAGAA